rnacentral:rRNA from 1 species
CCCAGACUCCUACGGGAGGCAGCAGUGGGGGAUAUUGCACAAUGGGGGGAACCCUGAUGCAGCGACGCCGCGUGGGUGAAGGAGCGUUUCGGCGCGUAAAGCCCUAUCGGCAGGGAAGAAGGAGGACGGUACCUGACUAAGAAGCCCCGGCUAACUACGUGCCAGCAGCCGCGGUAAUACGUAGGGGGCAAGCGUUAUCCGGAUUUACUGGGUGUAAAGGGGGCGCAGACGGCAGCGCAAGCUGGGAGUGAAAGCCCGGGGCCCAACCCCGGGACUGCUCUUGGAACUGCGCGGCUGGAGUGCAGGAGGGGCAGGCGGAAUUCCUGGUGUAGCGGUGAAAUGCGUAGAUAUUAGGAGGAACACCAGUGGCGAAGGCGGCCUGCUGGACGAUGACUGACGCUGAGGCUCGAAAGCGUGGGGAGCAAACAGGAUUAGAUACCCGCGUA